CGUAGCUCAGGUGGUUAGAGCGCACGCCUGAUAAGCGUGAGGUCGGCAGUUCGAGUCUGCCCG
rnacentral:tRNA from 2 species